UAUGUAUAUAUGAUUUUUGUGGUUGAAAUUAAAAGUCAAAAAGGUAAAAAGAUUUUUUUAAAGUACUCCUUUAGUGGGUAUAAGGCCAUUUUGGCCUCAUUUUUUUUCUUCUCCCGGCUGUAUCUCUCUCUCACUCUCUUCUUCACAUUUUUUUCUUUUCUUUUUCCUUCAAACUUAAAAGUUUGAUUAAUCUCCAACCAAUUGGAGAUUUAUGGUGCCGUUUACGACAAAACGGAGAGAUCGGCGAGAUCUACGCAUUGAUGUAAGCUAUUCAUCAUUUGGUGCACCCUAGGAAUUUCGAACCUAGGGCUUGGAUUUGGGGCGUUUUGCAUCUUUGUGAGGUCACGAGACUGAGUUGGUGGGGGUUGAUCUUCCACGAGCAUGGAUGGGGUUGGAAAGGAAUUUUCCUUGCAUCACAUUGUAUUUUGAUGUAUAUUUUGUAAAGUUUCAAUUUGUAAUAUAAUUAUGAGUUUCCGACUCUAUUUUGAUGUAAAUUGGAUUAUUUGUAAAACUGUGUUGAUAUUUUAUUCGAAUGGGACUAUAAAUCUUGCA